GAUGAACGCUAGCUACAGGCUUAACACAUGCAAGUCGAGGGGCAGCGGUAUCGAAAGCUUGCUUUCGGUAGCCGGCGACCGGCGCACGGGUGAGUAACGCGUAUCGAACCUGCCUCAUACUCGGGAAUAGCCUUGCGAAAGUAAGAUUAAUGCCCGGUGUUUUCAGAGUCCCGCAUGAGGCUGUGAACAAAGAUUUAUCGGUAUGAGAUGGCGAUGCGUCCCAUUAGCUUGUUGGCGGGGUAACGGCCCACCCAGGCAUCGAUGGGUAGGGGUUCUGGGAGGAAGGUCCCCCACAUUGGAACUGAGACACGGUCCAAACGCCUACGGGAGGCAGCAGUGAGGAAUAUUGGUCAAUGGGCGGAAGCCUGAACCAGCCAAGUAGCGUGCAGGAAGACGGCCCUCCGGGUUGUAAACUGCUUUUAGUUGGGAAUAAAACGGGGCUCGUGAGCCCCCUUGCAUGUACCAUCAGAAAAAGGACCGGCUAAUUCCGUGCCAGCCGCCGCCGUAA
rnacentral:rRNA from 1 species